rnacentral:rRNA from 1 species
GCGCACCAAGCGCGAAUCCUUCGCAAUGCAGGAAACUGCGACGAGGGAACUCCAAGUGCCUACGCUCAGCGUAGGCUGUUCUCAAGCCUAGAAAGCUUGAGGAGUAAGGGCUGGGUAAGACGGGUGCCAUCUGUGGUAGCAGUCAAUAGAUUCGAUUUGUUACUGCAAGGCAUAAGCCGCCGCGGUAAUACCCCGCAGCCCAAGUGGUGGCCGCUUUUAUGGGCCUAAAGCGUCCGUAGCCGGCCCGGUAAAUGCCUGGGUAAAUCGUGGAGCCCAACUUCACGAAUUCCGGGUAGACUGCCGAGCUCGGGACCGGAAGAGGGAGAGGGUACUUCAGGGGUAGGGGUGAAAAUUUCCUUUCCAUUAACGCUUUUGCGCGAAGCGGAAAGGGUUAAUCAC